GGGCCUGUAGCUCAGUUGGUUAGAGCAUCUCGUUUACACCGAGAGGGUCGGGGGUUCGAGUCCCUCCGGGCCCACCA
rnacentral:tRNA from 1 species